UUCUCUUCUCUUCUCUUCUCUUCUCUUUUUCUUUUUAAACCUCCCAAGGCUGUAGACAUUCCUAAGAAACACGCAGUCAGUCCUGGUGAGAGUGAAAUCAAGUUCUGGAAUUCUCAUUUGGAAUCUGCUGCCAGAUUCUUGAGAGAAUGUGGAAACAGAGAGCUAAGAGUUUUGUGUUUGGUGUGGACCCAAGAAUAUGGGAUUACAGUAUUCCUUUUGUCUAAUUACUUUUACUUCUGUCCUUUGCAGAGCUGCUAAAGACCCAUGACCUUCACUAUUGAACUGCUUCAUUGGAGGGAAAGAAUUGCCUUGAUGUCUAUAAGGAUUAGUGUUCUGAACAGACAUCUGCAAAGCUGUUGCUAGCUAUUGCUAGCCAGAUUGCUCAGUGCACGGUUGAGGUCCCUCAAUGGUGUUCCUUAAUCCUUACUGAUGGCAUUUGGUGUCUACUUGUGAUACUUUUCAUUUCAUUGCUUUAAUCAAUUAAUGUAUUUCUUUUCUAGGAUUCUGAGUGAUGCGAAAUAUUCAUGACCUUUGCUCCGAUAAACUCCAGCAGGGGAAAUCCUCCACUGGUACAUUUAUUAAGCUACUCAUGGGCUCUCACAUAAGGGUAAAACGGAAAAUGUGUCCAAGUGCUGGCAUACACUGCAUGAUGUUGGCAAAAGCAUACUCCAUUUUGACAGAAUAUAAAGAGGCUUAGAAGUGGGAUCCAGAAAGAUGAAAGGACUCGGAGGACAGUGACUCAGUCUGUCAUUGGUGGGAAUCUUUGUAGUAACUUAUAAUUUAUCUGUGGGUUAUGUAAGCUUAAAGAUGAAGAUAAAGCCGGGCCUGCAGAGCUCACACUGAACUCCAAA